GGUCUUCCGUAGCUUUUUGUCUCUCACGUGCAAGACGUCUUUCCACCUUUGCAAUGGCAUUUUUGUCCGUAAAUCUACGGUAGCACGUGUGAUGGAAGCCAGCUUCCUCGGGAAUAUUGUCAAACUCGACAUCAACACAGUGUUUAAAGUUCUCAGCCAGGUCCCGAGACUCACCCUCCAAACCGAGCCACUUCUGUAGGCUUGUCCUGACCCAGAUUUGCAUCUCCAUCAUUUGGGCCAAUCAUAUGCAGUGGCAUCCGGAAAGAUUCAGCAUCUCCUGCAUUCUGUGGUGAUAUAAAAAGGACGCACACAAUUCAAAACACAAGUGGAGGCAUAAAGCGCUGCACAUCACAACACUGAAGCAAAACUUAACAAGAUUGCUGUUGCGUGAAAAGUAGGUACGAUGCUGGGAAACUGCGUGGGCCUGUGAUUACUCAGGCUGGAGUCCCCCCUGAACAACAUAUGAUGACUGGAAAAUAAAUAUGGAGAAAGUUACACCCAUUAUUGAGUCAGGAGCAAAGGGACCGUGUCCAACAGCCAUCAGAGAGAAUGAUCCAAAAGAAGACACAGUGAGGAAGGUGUUGGCGGGGGGGGGCACUGGCCUGGCGGUGGGGGUUUUGUGUGGGGCCGCUUCCCCCCUUGCAGCUGUACUAAGAUCAGCCAUGAUUGUGGGGAGCAGAUUAGCCUUUAGUGCAGCUAAUACGGCCGCUGGGGCCGCUGUCGGAGGGGUUUUGGGAGGCGUUACGGGCUCAGUGAAUGGGGUAGGAGCUGACAGUCCUUUGCAAGCAGCUGAGCAAACCCUGUGCCAGGUGGGCAGAAAGGGGGUCACGGUUGUGGGGGUGGCUGCAGGGUUUGGAGUUAUAGGGCCUCCGGCUGCAGCAGCUGCAGGGUUGUCAGCUCCAGGGGUUCAGGGUACAUCUGUGGCAGCUGCAUUAGGUUAUUUGGCAAAGAAAAAACUAUCCGGGAAUAUAAAAUCAGGUGAAUUUAAAUAGAAUUAAUAAGCUGCUCUGCCAUGUCAUGCCGUAACUAGAAGUGACACAGUCUGUUCUCCGUGCCUGGCGCUGUAGUACUUUACAUGCAGUACUACAUGAACACAUUAAAGUCAAUACCCACCAUUGCAGAACAGAAAUCCGGAUUUUUCCAAUGCUUCCAAUACCACGACCGCUUCACAUACACCACCAUACCUUUACCUGUUUUAUGUAUAACAGGGUCGUUUGGAUCUUGAUACAUUUUGUAUUUUGUAUAAUGGGGCACUCGUCUGGGUGAAAAGCGGGGGCAGAACUGCAGUAGGCUCUUGGGCCAUAAGGGAAGCAGAGCAGACAUCCGACUAGGGGUUAAGGGGCCUGGAUGAGCGGCUGGACACCUUCUCUCUCUCCUCUUGCUUUACUUAUCUUUAUGUUCCUAGUGUUCACUCCACUUGGAGAUGUGCCUAAUCAUUGUAUUAUGUUAGCAUGGUUUAGAAAAUAAAGGUUUUGGGAAGAAUUUUAGACUUAACAUCAGAUGGGUUGUUGGUUUUACAGUUGAUUUAAUUCUGCAUAAAACUGGCUUCUUGAAUGUUUUUAUUGUCAUGAUUUAUUCACUGGAAAAUAAUCAUUAAGGAUGUAUUGAUUUCACAAUCAUAUAAAUGACUUGUAUAUUUUCAAUCAAUAAACAAAUGAUAUCCUGAA